UGGAUGGCACAUUUGAUGCUGAGAUGAUGCAGCUGGCUGGUGACUUUUAAGAAGAGAAGGUCAUUCUGGAAGAGGAAAGUCAAUGGAUGUAAAGGAGUCUUUUCUUAUGUGGAAUUACAGGCACUGAAGGGGACCUCUUGUGCAGAUCCAGAGGCCUGGAGAGGCUUUCUUUUACAGAGUUGUAAAGAGUUCAGAGGAUUCAUCCAUUCAGACCAACCUCAUUCCAGGAAAUAACAUGCAAAGCUGAGGGAAGGGACUGCAGUAACCAGAGGCCCAUCUGGAAACCACAUGCUGUGCUUUGAGGUCACCUGCUUCGGCAGCUUCCGCCCUCCUCCUCCCCUUAACAUGAUGGCCCAAAGGCAGGACAUCUCUGCAUCUGCUGACAUGCUGAGUUACUGAGGGAGGCUGCCCCUCCUGGAGCAGCGGAUGGGUGUGUGUGUGUGUGUGUGUGUGUGUGUGUGUGUGUGUGUG